rnacentral:misc_RNA from 1 species
UUUCCGUAGGUGAACCUGCGGAAGGAUCAGUCACAAUAAGUGUUUUAUGGCACUUUUUAAACAAUCCAUAUCCACCUUUUGUGCAACGUUUGGUGAUCAUCGACAUGGUCACCUUUAUGGGGUGAUGGUAUAGAGGGAAACUCUAUAAUUUACUAACAUCACCUUUAUAUUAUUUGUCUGAACAUUUGUUAUCACGAAUUAACUUAAUUCGAACAUACAACUUUCAACAACGGAUCUCUUGGCUCUC